rnacentral:rRNA from 1 species
GAUCCUGGCUCAGGAUGAACGCUAGCUACAGGCUUAACACAUGCAAGUCGAGGGGCAUCACAGAGAUAGCUUGCUAUCUUGGGUGGCGACCGGCGCACGGGUGAGUAACGCGUAUCCAACCUGCCCAUUACUCUGGGAUAGCCUUGCGAAAGUAAGAUUAAUACCGGAUGUUGUUAAAAACCCGCAUGAGUUUUUAACCAAAGAUUUAUUGGUAAUGGAUGGGGAUGCGUGACAUUAGGUAGUAGGUGAGGUAACGGCUCACCUAGCCGACGAUGUCUAGGGGUUCUGAGAGGAAGGUCCCCCACACUGGUACUGAGACACGGACCAGACUCCUACGGGAGGCAGCAGUGAGGAAUAUUGGUCAAUGGGCGAGAGCCUGAACCAGCCAAGUAGCGUGAAGGAAGACUGCCCUAUGGGUUGUAAACUUCUUUUGUAUGGGAAUAAAGUUCAGUACGUGUACUGUUUUGUAUGUACCAUACGAAUAAGCAUCGGCUAGUUCCGUG